UGGAUAACAACCAAAAAAAGAAAAAAAUCAAAUAGUGAACAACAAGUUCAAGAAACGAAUCCCUAUAAAUAAACGUCUUCUAGAGACACAAAAUCAGAAAUCGAAGCAAAUUUCAAUACAAACUUAGAAAGGAAAAGAAAAGAGUUUGAUAUAUAUAUAUAUAUAUAUAUUUACUUCCUUGCAAGGAUGAGUACGGUUUGUGAAGGAAAGAGUUCAUGGCCAGAGCUUGUAGGAAAGGAAGGGAAAGUAGCUGAACAAAUAAUUGAGAGAGAGAACCCUCUUGUGAAUGCUAUUAUUGUGGACGAAGGCUCAUCAGUCAUCUUGAACUUCAGUUGUGAAAGGGUUUGGGUUUGGGUUAACACUUAUGGCAUUGUUGUAAGAGUUCCGAAAAUUGGUUAGGCUCUAUAUAUUUGUGUGCCUCAAAAUGCUUGAGGGAUUGCCUACUUGAUCAUCAAUAGCAAAUAUAUAUGUUCGUUACUAUUUGUGUAGUAUGUAAAAUAAUUCAUGCAAAAGGAAAUAAUUAAGGAGAUGAUCCUAUGUAUUAUUCUCUAUUUGUUAUGUUAAUGAAAAAUAAAUAAGAUAUGCUUUUUGUUGUAAUUUCUUUUA